CCAGACUCCUACGGGAGGCAGCAGUGGGGAAUAUUGCACAAUGGGGGGAACCCUGAUGCAGCGAUGCCGCGUGGAGGAAGAAGGUUUUCGGAUUGUAAACUCCUUUUAUCAGGGACGAUAAUGACGGUACCUGAAGAAAAAGCUCCGGCUAACUACGUGCCAGCAGCCGCGGUAAUACGUAGGUGGCAAGCGUUGUCCGGAUUUACUGGGUGUAAAGGGCGUGUAGCCGGGUUGACAAGUCAGAUGUGAAAUCCUGCGGCUUAACCGCAGAACUGCAUUUGAAACUGUUGAUCUUGAGUACUGGAGAGGCAGACGGAAUUCCUAGUGUAGCGGUGAAAUGCGUAGAUAUUAGGAGGAACACCAGUGGCGAAGGCGGUCUGCUGGACAGCAACUGACGGUGAGGCGCGAAAGCGUGGGGAGCAAACAGGAUUAGAUACCCGGGUACA
rnacentral:rRNA from 1 species